rnacentral:lncRNA from 1 species
UUUUAAAUCUAAGACUUGAAAAUGUAAUACUAGAUUCCUCAUAAGUUUGUCUACAUUAAUAAAAAGAAAAAAAUGGCACAAGUUACAAAAUGCUAUCUUCGUUAUUGUGUGACAGCAGCAGCAGCAACAAUCUGGUUUGUACUUUAUAUCUAUUCCUUUUAAGUAAAUUAGUAAUAACAAACGGUAAAUUGAUUUGUUUUUCAUAGCUGAUGGAUGGAACAUGAACAGCAGACAACAUUCAAUGACUUCAUCAAGUGUGCAAACUUCAAAGUCACCAACGGAUUUUACUUCAAAAAAGUGGUAAUAACUUGUGCCUACCUAAAUCAUAUACUGGAUAAACCACAAGCUCCCCAAAGUCAAAACUAGAUUAAAAUUCAACAAAUGUGAAUAAGUCACCUCCUCAGCUAUUAGUGGCUACAGUUCUCUAUUGAGUAAUAUAGCUGAAUCAAAUAGUAACUCUUUACCAUUUAAUUCGGAUCCAGAAUUUUCAGAUCUUUUAGAAGUCAUGGACAUCAUGAAUAUCACUUCAGAGUUCAGCUAUGGAACUACUACACUAACUCACACCACUACACAAAUUCGCAACAAAUUAUACCACAAACCAUAUCAAGAAUGACUUCAUCAUUACAUUCUCAAUAUCAAAAUCCUAUCAACCUCUAUCAACAGCAAAACAUAAAAUAUUAAUAUUAGCCAAACCUAACCUGGGUUAUGGACUCAACAGAGAUUGGCAUUACACCAACAACUGAAUCCUAUGCUUAACACUCUACUACAGAUCACGGAUGGUUUCAAUAAAAGUUUUCCUAAUCAACAGCAACAAAGUCACGAAAGUGCCACUCGUGUGUUAACAAGUCCCAUAGGUUAUAAUACUGAAGUACCACCUAAUACCAAUUGUCAGCCACAACAGCAAAAACAGCAACAGUAAUUCCAGUUACUAGAAAUAUAAAUAUGACAACUAGUAAUUCAUAAAUUCAGGAAUCCAAUUUACUCUCCGAGAACUAGUAGUGCAAAUUCAACCACUAAUGUAACAGACCAAAAAUCAUCUUCUCUACUGCAAAAAUUGCUUUCGGAAAAAUAAAUUAAUAAAUACUUC